CACGUAGGCACCAAGCGUUGUCCGGAUUUAUUGGGCGUAAAGAGCUCGUAGGCGGUUCAGUAAGUCGGGUGUGAAAACUCUGGGCUCAACCCAGAGACGCCACCCGAUACUGCUGUGACUUGAGUACGGUAGGGGAGUGGGGAAUUCCUGGUGUAGCGGUGAAAUGCGCAGAUAUCAGGAGGAACACCGAUGGCGAAGGCAGGUCUCUGGGCAUUAACUGACGCUGAGGAGCGAAAGCAUGGGGAGCGAACAGG
rnacentral:rRNA from 1 species